GCGAGAGCCCGAGCCGCGGGCGGGCGGGCGGCGAAGAUGGCAGAGGCACCGGCCUCCCCGGCCCCGCUCUCUCCGCUCGAAGUGGAGCUGGACCCGGAGUUCGAGCCCCAGAGCCGGCCGCGCUCCUGUACGUGGCCCCUGCAGAGGCCAGAGCUCCAGGGGAGCCCGGCCAAGCCCUCGGGGGAGACGGCCGCCGAUUCCAUGAUCCCCGAAGAGGAGGACGAUGAAGACGACGAGGACGGUAGCGGUAGGGCCAGCUCGGCCAUGGCGAUCGGCGGCGGCGGGAGCGGCACGCUGGGCUCCGGGCUGCUCCUUGAAGACUCGGCCCGGCUGCUGGCUCCUGGAGGGCAGGACUCCGGGUCCGGGCCAGCCCUCGCGGCGGGCGCGCUGAGCGGGGGGACGCAGACGCCGCUGCCGCCUCAGCAGCCACUGCCACCGCCGCAGCCGGGGGCGGCUGGGGGCUCCGGGCAGCCGAGGAAAUGCUCGUCGCGGCGGAACGCCUGGGGAAACCUGUCCUACGCCGACCUGAUCACUCGCGCCAUCGAGAGCUCCCCGGACAAACGGCUCACUCUGUCCCAGAUCUACGAGUGGAUGGUGCGCUGCGUGCCCUACUUCAAGGAUAAGGGCGAUAGCAACAGCUCGGCCGGGUGGAAGAACUCUAUUCGGCACAACCUGUCACUGCACAGCCGUUUCAUGCGGGUCCAGAAUGAGGGGACUGGCAAGAGCUCUUGGUGGAUCAUCAACCCUGAUGGGGGGAAGAGCGGGAAGGCACCCCGGCGGCGGGCUGUCUCCAUGGACAACAGCAACAAGUAUACCAAGAGUCGUGGCCGUGCAGCCAAGAAGAAGGCAGCCCUGCAGACAGCCCCCGAGUCAGCAGAUGACAGUCCCUCCCAGCUCUCCAAGUGGCCUGGCAGCCCCACGUCACGCAGCAGUGACGAGCUGGAUGCGUGGACCGACUUCCGCUCACGCACCAAUUCCAAUGCCAGCACGGUCAGUGGCCGCCUGUCACCCAUCUUGGCAAGCACGGAGUUGGAUGACGUCCAGGAUGAUGAUGCACCGCUCUCCCCCAUGCUCUACAGCAGCUCAGCUAGCCUGUCACCCUCUGUAAGUAAGCCAUGCACCGUGGAACUACCACGGCUGACUGACAUGGCGGGCACCAUGAAUCUGAAUGAUGGGCUCUCUGACAACCUCAUGGAUGACCUGCUGGAUAACAUCACACUCCCAUCGUCCCAGCCAUCGCCCACCGGAGGGCUCAUGCAGCGGAGCUCUAGCUUCCCAUACACCGCCAAGGGCUCCGGCCUGGGCUCUCCAACCAGCUCCUUCAAUAGCACGGUGUUUGGACCCUCGUCUCUGAAUUCCCUGCGCCAGUCUCCCAUGCAGACCAUCCAAGAGAACAAGCCAGCUACCUUCUCUUCCAUGUCACACUAUGGCAACCAGACACUCCAGGACCUGCUCACUUCAGACUCACUCAGCCACAGCGAUGUCAUGAUGACCCAGUCAGACCCCUUGAUGUCUCAGGCCAGCACCGCUGUGUCUGCCCAGAACUCCCGCCGGAACGUGAUGCUUCGAAAUGACCCAAUGAUGUCCUUUGCUGCCCAGCCUAACCAGGGGAGUUUGGUCAAUCAGAACUUGCUCCACCACCAGCACCAAACCCAGGGCGCUCUCGGUGGCAGCCGUGCCUUGUCGAAUUCUGUCAGCAACAUGGGCUUGAGCGACUCCAGCAGCCUUGGGUCAGUCAAACACCAGCAACAAUCUCCUGUCAGCCAGUCUAUGCAAACCCUCUCGGACUCUCUCUCAGGCUCCUCCUUGUACUCAGCUAGUGCAAACCUUCCCGUCGUGGGCCACGAGAAGUUCCCCAGCGACUUGGACCUGGACAUGUUCAAUGGGAGCUUGGAGUGCGACAUGGAGUCCAUUAUCCGUAGUGAACUCAUGGAUGCCGAUGGGUUGGAUUUUAAUUUUGAUUCCCUCAUCUCCACACAGAAUGUUGUUGGUUUGAACGUGGGGAACUUCACUGGUGCUAAGCAGGCCUCAUCUCAGAGCUGGGUGCCAGGCUGAAGGAUCACUGAGGAAAGGGGAAGUGGGCAAAGCAGCAUGAAAGGUCCAUGUCCCAGGACAUCUCUCAAUCUGAAGUCGAGAGCAAAACCCCAUCUGUACCCUGGACUUACCUAUCUUAAAAAGGCCUAUUGAAACACCACCUUUCUUUGUUAACCUCCCGAAAUGGAUGACCUCGUUUCCUCUAGGCUUUUUCAACUUGAGAGCAUCUUGUAAUGAAGCCCAGAAGUGAGACCCUCAAACUGACACAAGACCUACAGAGAAAACCCUUUGCCAAAUCUGCUCUCAGCAAGUGGACAGUGAUACCGUUUACAGCUUAACACCUUUGUGAAUCCCGCACCAUUUUCCUAACCCAGCAGAGACUGUUAAUGGCCCCUUACCCCGGGUGAAGCACUUACUCUUGGAACAGAACUCUCUAUAUAUAAAGUAUGCAAAAUCUUCCUUGUACGGGGUGAUGAGCCACCUGCCAGCAAAGGACAGCAUCCUGUCAGCACCACCCACCCUCGUUCAGAGCACACCGUGAGCUCCUGUUGGCAAUUCUGUGGUGUAUUCAUAUCACGAUGGUUUAUGGGAUGUUUUAAGUGUUGUUUUUGUGUUUGUUUUCCUUUGACUUUCUGAGUUUUUCACAUGCAUUAACUUGCAGUAUUUUUAUGUUAAAAUGUUAAUCAUCCUUCCCCUGGCAAAUUUAAAACCAGAAGGAAAAUGUUGUACCAAUUACUGUUCUGGCUUUGGUCAUCACAAGCAUUUGAACCCUUGGAACUCCAUAAACUAACAAAUUACGUAAACCAGAGGGGGAUUUUCUUUCUUCUUUUGUUUGGUAGAAAACUAUCCUUUUCUAAAAACCAAACGAUGGCACAACUGUUUGCUGUGCACACCAGUUCAGGACUGAAUCCUGCACAGGCAAAACAAGUGGAGUGUGGCACUCGACCCAGUGUGUUUUAGUUCUGAGGUGCUCAGGGGGUGAGACCCCCAGUACCUAGUCUACAGUUGCCAGGUCAGUGGGUCUCUUGGUCUCCUGGCAUGAUCCUCAGCUAAUGCAGUGAACAGUGAUGGUAUGUGGGUUAGAAAUUAGGAUGUUUUCAAGAAUGAAAUCAGCUCAGCUGCCCACUCGUUGCCAAAUACCACUAGAGGAUUUAGUUUUAAGGAGAAAAGGAAAAAAAAAAAGUAGUCCUGGUUUGCUUUGCAGAAGAAAUGAACUCACAGCAAAGAUUGCAUGAAAAGUACAAACCGGAGUCACUAUUUUCCUAAAAUACACACCCUUGAAUAUUUUCAGCCUUGCUGUGUAUAAUCUGAUCUACUAGACGUGUAUGAGUGAGAGGCAAUAGCAUACAAACUGAUUUAUAUAUAUAUACGUGCGUAUAUAUAUAUAUACAUAUAUAUAUAUAUACAUACACACACACGCGUGCACAUAUAUAUAUAAAAGCUUAGACUGUAAUUGUACAAGUGACACAAUGAAAGUACAAGAUAGGGCGGUUUUGACUUUAUUUUUCCCCACUUUUCUGCUUCUAUGGAUUUCAUUUUGUUUUGUUUUCAAAAAGUUAUGGUGCUGUAUAGGUGCUUUCUGUUUAACCUGGAAAGUGUGAUGAUAUUAGUUACCCUCUUUGGUAGACAGAAUAGUUGGGAACACCUUUGGUACAUAUGAAACUGUGUAAUGAAGCUCUGAUUAGCACAGCAUAUGCAUACUUCUCCAAAGUGAUAUAUGAAGACUCUUUUCUUUGCAUAAAAGCAUUAGGCAUAUAAAUGUAUAAAUAAAUUUUAUCAUGUACAGUACAAAAAUGGAACAUUCUGCAUGGACGUUAGGAAUACAGGCUAGUAUUUCAGCACAGACCUCCCUGCAUGAGUUCUCGCUGACACUUGCACUGUGCAGUGGGCACCGACUCCCUUCCACCAACACAGACGUGCCACCCCACCCCCUGCACCUACCACCGGCCGCCAGGGGCCCCUUUGUGCACCUUUGCUUUAUGAUUCCUCUGGGGGUGAUAUUGGUGGUGAUAACAGCUCCUAGCAUAAUGAAAGUUCCAUUUGACGUAUUGUCACACGUCUUUCCCGCCUCGCGUGGGUUGUCAUGUUUGAGUGAUGGCCCUGUUGAUUUCACCCUGCCUUUUACUGAAUCUGUAAAUUGUCGUGCAAUUGUGGUUAUAGUAGACUUGUAGCAAUAUUGCCUUUUCUAAACUGCUACACGUUUGUAAUCUUCAUUUUAAAAGUAUGUAUAAUUUUUAAAAAUAUGUAUUCUAUUCACGUGGUCUGCUUGUCAGUGAGACAGACUUUUGCUUACUGUAUUCCUUUAUAAUAAUGCUAGCCGCUUCCUUGAUUCCUUGGUAGUCUACUAUAUGCAGGAACUGUUGAGCAUCCGUGAAAGAAGGCUACCUCUCUGGGUUUCUAAGAAAUGCUGCCCUGGGUGGGGAUACAGUUUAGAGGCAGCCACAGCAGCUGUGGGGACCGAAGGGUAUAGGGGUAUCAGGUACUAGGAAAAUCCAGAGGGCUUACAGGAGUAGAGCCCAGAGAAUUUCUCUCCUGAACUCAAAUUAAAAAAAAAAGUAAACUAACAAAAAUAUCUAUUUGCCUUUGCAGUUUUAUAGACCCUGAUUGCCACCUUGGCAGUAAGAAGAGCAACCCUCAAAUAUGUUUCAACUUUAAAAUGUUGAAUUCCUUUCAGACAUGUGGCAUCUCAUUUAUUCUCCUUUUUUCUCAAUGUUUGUUAGAUUUUAGGCAGAAUGUCUGACAGAAUGUCCUAGAGCCAGAUUAUAAUUUAAUCUAAAACAGCUGAGGGAGGGACAGGAGGUAUGAGAACAGGGCUGCCACAGAACACGUCAAGAAUAUGGAGGGGAAGGGGUGCUUUGAAUUUGUGUGUUUUUUUGUUUGUUUUUUAAUGCAAACAGCAUCUACGUGUCGAGCAUUGUGGAGAGUUGAGAUCAGGACAAAGUCCAGUGCCAGCAUGAGUUCCAGGUGGGAGUCAGGCAAGAGCGGAACAGUUAGGCCUAUCCAGGAUCACAGCAGCACUUUUAGCCAUGGCCACUGCCAGCUGGCCCUCCACCUGGAGGCCAGGCUCCCUGAGACUCGCUGGGUUCUUAGGUGGUCAGACGGGGCAGAGGUGCGACCUGACCUCCAUUUCUUAUACUGAGACUGCUUUCAGGAAGGCCCACCAUGUGGCGUUCUGGGUGUCAUGGGUCCUUCUCAGUAAGCUUUCUGAUCUGGAGCCUCUCAGUGGAAUACUUAGUAGGCUCCGGGGGCCCGGCAGCUGUAAUGUUUGCAUCCUGAUGAGAACUAUUCCAGGCUGUCCUCAGCCUCUAAAUAAGCUGCUCUAGGGAGCCUUCCACUUUCUGAUGGGAAAUUAGAAGAGUAACUAAUGUUGAAAACAUGACAUGUACUCUGGGGUUCUGUUCUCCCUUCAGGUCUCCAGAACCAGAUACCUUUUACCAAAGUCAGAAAAGAGCUUUAUCGUAAGCCUUCACUGUCCUGGUGUGAGAACAGACUGCCAGGUUCAGCGUACCCAUUAACUGUGAAUGAAUCUGAGGUCGAUUUCCUUUAUUGCAUCCUCUUCAAUAUAAUGAUUGCUGAAACACGUGUUUUCUAAAAAUUUCACAAGUUUGUCUUUCCUGUUAACGGGAGGAUUACACACACAUGUGUAGUACGAGGUGGACUUUGUGUGUGUGUGUGUGUGUUUGGUAUUGAGUUUGGGUAUUGUGUGCGUGUGUCACUUCACCACCCUGAGGUCAGAUCCUCAUGACUCCUAGCUCAGGACAGCUCUGCCAGGUCUCAGGGUAUCAUUUCAGGUGGCUUCUGAUCUUGUUAAAGAUGGUAGGGACAGACUUCAUCUAUACCCAGUGGACCCCGCCUGAAGAAGAAGGAACAUUUGAAUCUCUUGGAAAGACCUUCAAGAGUAAAGCGGUCAUUCAGCCAGUCCUAUUUUGCGUGCUCAUGCCAUGGGCUGGCAAAGGGAAAUACAAAUGUUACCCUUUCUCUCUGAAAGCAGAAGCAAACCCUGAUAGCUCUAACUCUGAUUUCCUUUUUCUUGCUGUAGUUGGGGAACAUUGUAAGACUAGGCAUACCAUUGUAUUUUUUAAUUUAGCAAAGUUUUUUUGUAGAAAUGCAAUCACUGGCAAAGAGGUACGAAAAAGCCAGCCUCUCCUAAAGACUGGGGGCAGCAGGCACGAUGAGGGUAAAGCGAAGCCCUUGUGAAAUCAUGUCUGCCAAACAAGAUCUUCAUGCAGAUGCCCAAGUAACUGAAGAGUAUAUUCUAUCUGAUCUAAAUCAUCAGUAGAUAACAUUUUAUGCAGUUUAAAUGAAUGAACUAUUUUCCUCUUUAGUUUUAUUUGUGUGCGCUUUUCUUUGAUGAAUGAUUGGUUCUGAGGCCUCUGCCACACUCCAGAAUUACUUGUGUGGCUGCUUUAAAAAAUUGAAUGUCUGGUCACUUAUUUCUCUAAAAUUAUCUCAUUGCCUGGCAAUCAGUCUUCUCUCGUAUACUUGUCCUAGCACAUUACAUACAUGGGAAAUGUAAACAGAUGUGAAGGAGGACCAGAAAAAUGAGUUAAUACUAAAAAAAAAAAAAAAUGUAUUGUGCGUUUUGGCUUCACAUGUUUAACUUUUUUAAGAAAAAAAAGUUGCAUGAAUGGAAAAAAAAUCUGUAUACAGUAUCUGUAAAAUUGUCUUACCUGUUUCAAUUUCUUGCUCAUUCCCCAUUCAGACUAGAAUUAAAUAUGGUGCAUGGCCAUAUUCAAACACCUAAGAGUCAAGCAGCUGAUACUUUGGUUUGAAGCACCUCAUUCUUUCUUUCCAAGCGAACACUAUCAUAUUGCAUUCUUACUGAGGAUUUUGUCUAACCAUAUGUUGCCAUGAGUUAACUCUACCACCUUUCUUCCCAAAAAUCAAAACCAGUUUGAUUUGGGAAUCUCCCCUUUCCAAAUGAAAUAGAGAUGCAGUACUUAACUUUCCUCGGUGUUUGUAGAUAUUGCCUUGUGUAUUCCAUUUACAGCCGUAAUCUAGUUUGUAAACGAGAUGGUGACGCAUGUAAAUAAAGCAUCAGUGACACUC